GCUGGGCACGGUGGCGUGUGCCUGUAAUCCUAGCUACUUGGGAGGCUGAGGCAGGAGAAUUGCUUGAGCCUGGAGGCGGAGGUUGCAGUGAGCUGAGAUCAUGCCACUGCACUCCACCCGGGGAAGAGAGCAAGACCCAUCUCAAAAAAAAAAANNNNNNNNNNUUUUUUUUUUUGAGAUGGGUCUUGCUCUCUUCCCCGGGUGGAGUGCAGUGGCAUGAUCUCAGCUCACUGCAACCUCUGCCUCCCAGGUUCAAGCGAUUCUCCUGCUUCAG
rnacentral:SRP_RNA from 1 species